rnacentral:rRNA from 1 species
CCUACGGGAGGCAGCAGUGAGGAAUAUUGGUCAAUGGACGAGAGUCUGAACCAGCCAAGUAGCGUGCAGGAUGACUGCCCUAUGGGUUGUAAACUUCUUUUAUAUGGGAAUAAAAUGUUCCACGUGUGGUGUUUUGUAUGUACCAUAUGAAUAAGGAUCGGCUAAUUCCGUGCCAGCAGCCGCGGUAAUACGGAGGAUCCGAGCGUUAUCCGGAUUUAUUGGGUUUAAAGGGAGCGUAGGUGGAUUGUUAAGUCAGUUGUGAAAGUGUGCGGCUCAACCGUAACAUUGCAGUUGAAACUGGCUGUCGUGAGUACAGUAGAGGUGUGCGGAAUUCGUGGUGUAGCGGUGAAAUGCUUAGAGAUCACGAAGAACUCCGAUUGCGAAGGCAGCUCACGGGACUGCAACUGACACUGAGGCUCGAAAGUGUGGGUAUCAAACAGGAUUAGAUACCCCAGUAGUC